UUCAGCUCCUUUUUGUGUAUCGUGUUCCCUCAUUAAAUUGUAAGCUGCUUGAGGACAGAUUCUGUCUUUCUAAUUUGUAUUAGAAUCAUUACUAAUUUGGAGCAGGAGAUUACUCAAUAAAUAAAACUUUAUUAAGUGUCUCUUGAUGAAGGUGAAAGAAGAGAGUAUAAAAGCUGACUUGAAGCUCAACAUAAAAAAAAAAAAAAACAACAACAACAAAAACUAAGAUCUUGGCGAUUGAUUCCAUCAAUUAUCAAUUCUUGGCAAGUGGAGGAAGAAGAAAUGAAAACAAUGUCAGAUUUUAUAUUUUUGGACUCAAAGAUCACUUCAGAUAGUGGCUGCAGCCAUGAAAUUAAAACAUGUUUUCUCCUUGGAAGGAAAGCUAUGGCAUAACCGGGCAGCAUACUAAAAAGCAGAGACAGCACCUUGCUGACAAUGGUCCAUAUAGUCAAUGUUAUAGUUUUUCCAGUAACAAUGUUUGACUAUAAGAGUUGGACUAGAAUAAAAGCUAAGUGUAACAAAAAUCAAUGUUUUCAAAUUGUGAUGCUAGAGAAGAAUUUUGAGAAUCCCUUGAACAUCAAGGAGAUCAAAUCAGUCAAUACUUAAAUCAGGUCAGGUUAUUCACUGGAUGAUCAAAUAAUGAAGCUGAAGGUUAAAUAACUUUGAUCACAUAAUGAGAAGAUGGAACUUACUGGAAAAAACUCUGAUGCUGGGAAAUAAGGAAAAUGGAAAAAGGAAUGGCACAGGAUGAGAUGGAUAGUGUCUCUUGCCCUUGAGGAGGGAUUUAGGCUAAGAAACAAAUGAUAGAAUAUAAAAAGUAUAUCAACAGAACUAAGAACUUAAUUUAACAAGACAAAAACUAACAAGGAUACAUGUAAAAUUUUAUAUGUAUGUUUUAAAAGUCAGCUGUACAUAUAUAAGUUAAUGGAGAAAUCUUAUGGAAAAGAUCGCAAUGUCUUAGUGGAUUGCAAAUUCACAAUAAGACAACCAAAUGACAUAGCAACCAAAAAAGCAAAUAUGAUUAGCAGUUUUAAUAGAAGUACAAUAUAAAGAAGCAGAAAGAUGAUAAGUACCCCAGUAUUCUGCUCUAAUCAGACACCAUGUGGAAGAUUGUGUUCAGUUCUAGUUAAAACAUUUUAAGGAAACAGAGAUUGGAAUAUGUUCUGAAGAAGUUAGAUUGUGAACAGAUUGAAAAUCAGCUCAAGGAAAGACCAGAUGAAGGAAAAAGAAGUAUUUAGCUUGGGUCAAAGAAGACUUAAGGGGUAUGGGGAAUCUUCAUGGCAUCUGAAGUUACAUCAUGCUGAAGCAGAAUGUGCCUUGUUCUCCUGGACUUCCACUGAUCUAAGUCACAGAGAAUCCACAUGUUUAUGAGGUCUGCAUUGUUACCAAGAAGUGAUAUGGUUUGCAGCUGUAUGAGCUUUACUUUUGGUAUCCUGGUUCUUUUGUGCCCAUUUGGUUUGACUAGACCAGUUUUUGUUCGCUACUGGUGCAAAUAUACAUGCUGUCAGAGGUAGAGUGAAAGUUUUUGCCACUGAGGAGACUGUAGCAAAACAGGAGGAGAAGGACGAGGAAGAGGGGGGAAAUAGGAGUUGGAGAUAGAGCUCAGAGUUAGGGAUUUUUGUAUUUGUUUUCACUCAGGGUGCCCUGAAUUUAAAGUAAUGAGACAUACUGUACUAAUCCUUACUUUACACACUAGUGUUAAGAAUAACAGUGCUGUUUCACAUAUAUCACAGCUUCUAGAGAUAAAGACGUAUGGAUAAUGACAUACCUCAUUUUAUUUUAUUUUUUGGGAUUAUCUAAACCCUUCGUAGCCUAAAACAUAGAAUAGCUCUAUAAGAAAGGACUGUCCAGUGUCACAAGCAGACUAGAAACCAGAGUGAGGUCAAAUGAGUCUUGGGAGCACCAUGAUAAAAAUAUAACCCAUUCAGAGCCUGGUUAUGUGCUUUCCUUUCCCUUUAAGCAGGUGUGCUGGCAGAUGGAUUUCCAACAUGGAGAUGUAUUUAUUUGCUCAUCAGAACUUUCUGAGUUGAGGUGUUAUGGGGGAAAAAAAAAAAAGGAAACCAAUUUAGAGAUGAUAAUACAGGAAUGAAUGCUUUCGUUUUCAGAUUCAGUUAACUAAAGCCAAAUGAAGUUUCGGAUCUCCUCUAUGCAG